UAAGCAUAUCAGUAAGCGGAGGAAAAGAAACCAACCGGGAUUGCCUCAGUAACGGCGAGUGAAGCGGCAAGAGCUCAAAUUUGAAAGCUGGCCCCUUCGGGGUCCGCGUUGUAAUUUGCAGAGGAUGCUUCGGGUGCGGCCCCUGUCUAAGUGCCCUGGAACGGGCCGUCAGAGAGGGUGAGAAUCCCGUCUUGGGCAGGGUGCCCGUGCCCGUGUGAAGCUCCUUCGACGAGUCGAGUUGUUUGGGAAUGCAGCUCUAAAUGGGUGGUAAAUUUCAUCUAAAGCUAAAUACCGGCCGGAGACCGAUAGCGCACAAGUAGAGUGAUCGAAAGAUGAAAAGCACUUUGAAAAGAGAGUUAAACAGCACGUGAAAUUGUUGAAAGGGAAGCGCUUGCGACCAGACUCGGCCCCGGGGUUCAGCCAGCACUCGUGCUGGUGUACUUCCCCGGGGGCGGGCCAGCGUCGGUUUGGGCGGCCGGUCAAAGGCCCCAGGAAUGUAUCGCCCUCCGGGGUUGUCUUAUAGCCUGGGGUGCAAUGCGGCCAGCCCGGACCGAGGAACGCGCUUCGGCACGGACGCUGGCGUAAUGGUCGCAAACGACCCGUCUUGAAACACGGACCAAGGAAUCUAACAUCUACGCGAGUGUUCGGGUGUCAAACCCGUACGCGCAGUGAAAGCGAACGGAGGUGGGAGCCCCCCCGGGGCGCACCAUCGACCGAUCCUGAUGUCUUCGGAUGGAUUUGAGUAAGAGCGUAGCUGUGGGGACCCGAAAGAUGGUGAACUAUGCCUGAAUAGGGCGAAGCCAGAGGAAACUCUGGUGGAGGCUCGCAGCGGUUCUGACGUGCAAAUCGAUCGUCAAAUUUGGGUAUAGGGGCGAAAGACUAAUCGAACCAUCUGGUAGCUGGUUCCUGCCGAAGUU
rnacentral:rRNA from 1 species